GUCUGCUGGCAGUGCUGCAAGGAGGGAGGGAUAAGAUGUUGUAUAGGGACAGACAGGUGGCUCUGCUAGGGACAGGAGGGAGUGAACUGGAAUUGAGAGAAGGAAAGAAAGAGCCAGAGCUGUGUGGAGCUGCCUAUGAGAGGCUAUAUAGAAAAAGUGUGAAAGACUUGUAGAUAACAAGGAGCUGAUGCUUGAAGCCUUCUGAAGUUCUGCCAAAGCACUCUUGAGUGUUGUGGCCAUCUCAACAGCGACAAAUGGUGACCCUGAUGUGAUACAACAGCCUGAACAACAUACUCUGUCUGGACGCAUAUGGGGUCCUGGUGACUGGCAACAUUGACCCAUUGGGAGGGGGGGAUGGCAUUGGUGAAGCUGAGAGGGGUGUGUGGAAGCCACAGCAAGGUCUCGACCUGAUUUUCUCCUAUCAAGGCACCUGGAAGCAGUUCGCUCAGGGAGAGGAGUCUCUUCUGCUAUUCCAUGGAGUCCUUCCCAUGAGAGACAGCUCUCUGUGAACUCUUCCAGUGUGGUCCUAAUUUUCACAAGCAGCAGUCUACCUGAAACCUGCUGCAAUGUGAAGUCCAUCCACAGGGAGAAAAUUGGUGUUUGUAGGUCCAUUUGUUCUCAAGCUUUAUCAAUUGAAACCGUUUUUACGGAGUUCUGCAGUGCUGAAAGGUUGAUCUCAUCCCGGCUCUGCAUUGGGAAAAUCACUUGCCGUGAUUUUCUCGCUGCUGGUCCCUGGUCUCUGCCAGCACCGUGCAAGCUGUGCCGGCCGCUGGCUCCACUCCAGGCCUCUUCUUCAUGUGAGAUGCCUAAAAAAGAAAAGUUGCUGCUGCCAUUUUUGUCCUUCUGCCCACAACAUGGCUGGCUGAAAGUAGCUAAGCAAAUGGAGUCCAUUGCAAGCCAUGCCAAGAGAGUCCUGGCCCAGCUGUGCUGAUUUUGGCCAUGCGGUCCUGGCCACGUGGCUGCUCCUGGACCGGGAUGGCCACAGGGCUGCUCCUGGCACUGUCCCAGCUGCACGGUUGCCUGCAGUGCCAGGAUGGCUCCCUGCAGCCACAGUGGGCCCCUCCGGGAAGGAGCUCUGGCUCCACUGGGAAUGGCCCCAACAGCCCCCUUCCCCCUCAGUGCCUCCUUAGAGAGUAGGGAGCAAGACAGCUUCCUGCGUGUUUUUCCGUCAUAAAUAUGUUAUGAUAGAGGCACUUCCAGCUUUUCUAAUUGGCUUAGCAGUGUGCCUAUUCUCAGAGCUAACCAGAAACUGGUUUUGCCAGGCUCGGAGGAAGCUGCUAGCAGCUCCUCACAGAAAAAAUCAUUUCCGUGGCAGGCUUUUUUCCCCCUCACCAAAAUCAUCCUAUUUAAAACCACCACAAAUGUGACAAGAAAGAAGCACAAAUUAAUAUGAGCUCUAAAAAUUUCCAUAAAUCAGGAGGAAAAGGUUCUCUUUUGGUAUUGUAGCAACGUUUUCCAAAUGUGGAUUUUUUUGGUGGUCAUUUCCUUUUUAUUCACUAGUUACACCAAUGGAUCAUCUCCUGAUUUAUAUUAUUGAAAGUCAGAAGACUAACUUCUUAUAAUUUUCACACACUAUUUUUCACUUUCCUGUUAUUUGUGUUUUUUCCCAUGUAGUAUAUUGUCCUUUUCAGUAAUUCUAAAAUUUCUCCUUCUUUUAUUCUUUCAAAUGUAUUUAUCUACAGAUGUCUCAUUUUUCCAGAGGCACUGCAAAAAAUAGCUAAACUUCUACACCUAAAAGAUCCUUCCAUUUCCCUUUCCCACAAACAGUUAAAAGCAUAAGAAAAGAACUGGUGAGAAUAAAAUACUAGAAAAGAUAUACAAAUGGCUCUCUGUAAUGGUCUCUCAAUAUUUCCCAGAUAACAGAGCUGUUAGAUCCACAUUAGAUCAUGCUUCCUUAUUAGGAGUCACUACAAUCUGUCUGCUGUCAUGAGAUCAUGUAUUGUGAGUUCUUUUAAUAUGUAUUUUUUUAAGUCUAUGUUGCUAUCCAGGUUUCUAUUUCUACUCUUGCCUAGUAAGCAACAUCCAUUUUCUCCUUGUACUGCAGAUUCCUUUUGCCUACUUUAUUGACUUCAUGCCUUUAUCAGAAUCAGCACAGCUUUUAAUGUAACUACUGAGCCUGUCAUUAGGGACUUGAUGGAAGCAUUCCUCAAAUUGUAAAUAAAUUAUACUUUAUGUACAGCCAUUAUCAUCUUUCUCUAGGGGUUUCAAUGGCUCCAAGCUUUUGUGCUAUAGACCAUAUCCCUUUAGGCAAGAUAUCCCUUCAGGAUAUUUCCCUUCAGGCAUGAUAUGCUGGUUGUAGUCAUUACAAUAUUACUUUGAUUAUUCUCUAAAUUACCCCUCAUUACUGUACAUUUUCUUUGCUUUUCU